CCCUUUUUGUUUACUAUUUGUAUCUUUCUCUUCCUUGUUUUUUUUUUUUUUGUUUUUUGGGGGGGGGGGUGGGCUUUGGAUGUCUGUUGUUGGUGAAUGGUUUGGUGGUUGAUCAUUUCCAAAGGGGACAUAGCUUUGAGGCCAUUCCAACUUGUCCUCAGCUAGUUCUCUUGCAGGUCCUUCCCCGAUGAAGUGCUACCGCAUUUAAUGCAGCCUUCCCUUUGAGGAUCUUGAUGGAUUCUCCUUGAUGGUGGUAUGUUUAGUCUGCAGGUUGCCCAAGGCGCUCCUCUCGCUGUGGACUUCCGUUUGCCCCCGGUGGUCUUGUGCUCCUUAUCAAAUGGAAAAUUCUUAGGCCAUCUGCCAGACUAGGCCUUUGUAGGGCUCGACCUGGUGGGCUUGUUUAGUAGGUUGUGCUACGCCCUUAUUUCUAGGGUUUCAUUUUGGGUUCAACAAAGAAGAUCAAACCAAUCCCAGCCUCAACAAUGGCCUUGGGGAAGACGACCUUGAUGACCACCUUCUCUACUCCAGAUUGCUCUCACAAGUUAAUUUCCUCUCUUUCUCAAUUAAUUGAUGAAUUCAAUUGAACCUCAAUAUCGCUAUAGAAAGAUGAUGGUUGGAAGCCAUAAUAUCGCUCCAACAUCCAUCAUUAAUGUUGUCCAAAGGGAAUGAAUUGGUGGAUGGCAGGUUUGCCCUGUUGUGGCUUAAAGUGACCCAAGAAUCUGCACAAAUUAUUUGGGAAUGCAAAAGUUAUUUGAGAUUGGACUGAGGAAGGGCUCACGAUCUUUUGCUGAAGCUCAUGCUGUAGGAUUCACUGAGGAGACCGGAAGUCUGGGUGAUAUUUGGGAAACUGUCGCAGGCAGUGAUCUUGUGCUGUUGCUGAUAUCCGAUGCAGCACAGGAGAGAGCAUAGCAUAGCAUUUUCAUAUGGCUUUAUAUAAUGGACGUGGAUCAUAAUAGCAUAGCAUUUAUAUGUCCUAGUGUUUGAAAAGUGCAGAAUCCGAGUCAUAGCUAGGAAUUAAACAAGUACUGCUUGUUCAGUAUCAUGCAAGUUUUCCGAUAUACGAGUGAUCUUCUCUUUCAACUUUAUCUAUUUGAAUUGUUUUCCUUAGGUGCAUGGCUAUUAUACAUAGUUUAAGACCACUUGUUUUUUUAGCAAA